rnacentral:rRNA from 1 species
UAGGGAAUCUUGGGCAAUGGGCGCAAGCCUGACCCAGCGAUGCCGCGUGUGUGAAGAAGGCCUUCGGGUUGUAAAGCACUUUCAAUUGUGAAGAAAAGCCCAGAGCCAAUACCUCUGGGUCUUGACGUUAACAUUAGAAGAAGUACCGGCUAACUCCGUGCCAGCAGCCGCGGUAAUACGGAGGGUACGAACGUUAAUCGGAAUUACUGGGCGUAAAGCGCGCGUAGGCGGUUCGGUAAGUGGGAUGUGAAAGCCCCGGGCUCAACCUGGGAACUGCAUUCCAAACUGCCGAGCUAGAGUAUGGUAGAGGGAGGUAGAAUUUCCUGUGUAGCGGUGAAAUGCGUAGAUAUAGGAAGGAAUACCAGUGGCGAAGGCGGCCUCCUGGACCAAUACUGACGCUGAGGUGCGAAAGCGUGGGGAGCAAACAGGAUUAGAUACCCCCGUAGUCC